rnacentral:rRNA from 1 species
AUGGUCCGCACAAUGACCGAAGGCAUCGUAAAUAGGUUUUUGAGCUCCGCGAAGGCCGAGAUGCUUCAAAAGAACGAGACGGAGAUAAGAUGUCCGUGUCGAAGAUGCAAGCUGAAGAGCCUUAUUGCGGACCCGGAUUCCGGGCAGGUGCGGGACCACCUGCUCUUGCGUGGUUUCAUGGAUGGCUAUCAGUGGCAAGGUUAUGAAGAUGACUAUGAAGUCGUCCAUGGGGGCCGGGCAAGAAAUGAGGAAGGGCAGCAAGACAACCACUGCGGCUCAGGCGGGCGAGAAGACGAAGAAUCUCCAGGACAUGAUCACGACGGUGAUGCUGUACACGGUCAUCAUGUAGAAGAUGCCGGACAUGAUGAUGAGGAAGAUGCCGGAGCAGACGAAGGGCAUGAUCAUGAAGAUAAAGAUGCCGGCAGAGCAGACGAUGAUGGACUAUCGAUGGGCUGGGUGCAGGACCCUCAUAUUCAAGAGCUGCUUCUCAAGCAGACGGAUAACGCAAGAGCUGCCGCCCGAGAGAAAGCCAAGCUGGAUCAACUGGAGAUAGACGCGGUUACUCCAUUGUAUGAAGGAUGCAGGCCCGAGGAUACCCGACUGAAAGUAACGCUCAUGGCUCUGGAGAUGAAGGUAAAACACAAAAUGACCGACGCAUGCUUUGACGAGAACAUGUCAUUCUAG